rnacentral:rRNA from 1 species
CGCCCUUAGAGUUUGAUCAUGGCUCAGGACGAACGCUGGCGGCGUGCCUAAUACAUGCAAGUCGAACGCAGCUUGCUUUGGUAAGAUGAGUGGCGAACGGGUGAGUAACACGUGGGUAACCUGCCUAUCAGAGGGGGAUAACACUUGGAAACAGGUGCUAAUACCGCAUAGAUUUCUUUCGCAUGAAAAGAGAGGAAAGACGUGCGUGUCACUGAUAGAUGGACCCGCGGUGCAUUAGCUAGUUGGUGAGGUAACGGCUCACCAAGGCCAUGAUGCAUAGCCGACCUGAGAGGGUGAUCGGCCACACUGGGACUGAGACACGGCCCAGACUCCUACGGGAGGCAGCAGUAAGGAAUCUUCGGCAAUGGACAAAAGUCUGACCGAGCAACGCCGCGUGAGUGAAGAAGGUUUUCGGAUCGUAGAACUCUGUU